rnacentral:ncRNA from 1 species
ACCCAGGCUCUUUUAAGAGCCAUUACUUUUACAAAAAAUAUUAUAG